GCGCUGCCUUUGAGCCCCCGCCGCGCCUGCAUGUGGCGCCGGGGGUUAAGCUACAGCGCCAGAGCACGUGCUCGCGCAUAACUGGGGUCGCCAACCCCCUGCGGACGGCCCUUUUAACCGCGAGCUACACGG
rnacentral:snoRNA from 1 species